rnacentral:lncRNA from 1 species
GGAGAACAAUAGGAGGAAGAGAAGGUAGAAGAAGAGAGAGAAGCCACCAUGGGGCAGGCGAGUCAUGAAAAUGCCAUCCUGAGGGCUGGCCAAUUGGAGAUGAAACAUAGUCUGCUGCAGAACCAGUGUGUUCCAAGGACCCCCGAUUCAGACGGCCACACAAAGGACUGCUACGUUGGCUAUUUGGUGAGGAAAUGAAAACAGUUAACUCUAGGAACCUCUGGCCCAAGCCCUCUUCAUUACUGAGCCCACAUGAGCAGCCUAGGAGACAAUGUACCAUACCUGUAACUGGUGUGUAACAAACAGAACCGUCUUAGACUUGAGGCGCUUCCGGAUAGCACUGUUGAAGAUGUGGUUGCCCACAUGGGCAUCUAAGGCACUGAGGGGGUCAUCCAGGAUGUAGAUGCUUCUAUCACUGUACAAGGCUCUAGCAAGGCUGAUUCUCUGGCGCUGUCCACCACUCAGGUUGGCUCCUCGCUCUCCAAUCUAUGAACCCAAAAGGAAAGCCUCUAUCUUAAAUCUAGAAGAGCGCUUAACAGGCACCCCAGUCAUCUUUCAUCUCCAUUUCCAAAGCCUUCACAAACUGCCUGUGUGAAACUUCUAGGGGCUGAGGAAGUCACCCUACAACUAUCAAUGUGCCAAUCAGAUAUCCAUGUGGCUUUGACACUGCCCCAGGUCACCCUUUGACACCGCCCCAGGUCACCCUCUUCUCCAGAAAGAAUGCCUCAAAACAAAAGGCACCCUUGCCUAAAACUCUUUAAGAACCUUGAAAGAAUCUAAACACUAACAACCAUGGGUAUCCUGAGACUUAAAAUAACAUGUAAAAUAUGAACCCACAUGGCAUCAUGCUUUGUCGACAUGAAGCCUGCAUCAUCUCUUCUGGGACACUCCUCCACCCUCUUCUAAUUCUACCCACAAAUGAGGGCCCUUCUUAUUCUGUGCCAAUUUAUCUGGGUCUCUGGCUCCCUUAACUAAAAGCUUCUUAUGCAUACAAACUACUGUCCUACUCCUUUAUAUCUAAAUACUGGGCAACUGGGGAAUGUGUCACUAGCAUGCACACCUGACAAAUGCCACUAUCUGAACAAAUUAAUCAAUUGCCAAACGCUACCUGGUUUUCUGUUGCUUUUUAAAGUGUUAUCUUUAGAAUAAAAACAAAAGACAAAAAAUGCUG